rnacentral:rRNA from 1 species
AUUGAACGCUGGCGGCAUGCCUUACACAUGCAAGUCGAACGGUAACGCGGGGCAACCUGGCGACGAGUGGCGAACGGGUGAGUAAUGUAUCGGAACGUGCCCAGUUGUGGGGGAUAACUGCUCGAAAGAGCAGCUAAUACCGCAUACGACCUGAGGGUGAAAGCGGGGGAUCGCAAGACCUCGCGCAGUUGGAGGGGCCGAUAUCAGAUUAGGAAGUUGGUGGGGUAAAGGCCUACCAAGCCUACGAUCUGUAGCUGGUCUGAGAGGACGACCAGCCACACUGGGACUGAGACACGGCCCAGACUCCUACGGGAGGCAGCAGUGGGGAAUUUUGGACAAUGGGGGCAACCCUGAUCCAGCCAUGCCGCGUGCGGGAAGGAGGCCUUCGGGUUGUAAACCGCUUUUGUCAGGGAAGAAAUCCUUUGAACUAAUACUUCGAAGGGAUGACGGUACCUGAAGAAUAAGCACCGGCUAACUACGUGCCAGCCGCCGCAGUAA